GAUGAACGCUAGCUACAGGCUUAACACAUGCAAGUCGAGGGGCAGCAUGGUCUUAGCUUGCUAAGGCCGAUGGCGACCGGCGCACGGGUGAGUAACACGUAUCCAACCUGCCGUCUACUCUUGGACAGCCUUCUGAAAGGAAGAUUAAUACAAGAUGACAUCAUGAGUCCGCAUGUUCACAUGAUUAAAGGUAUUCCGGUAGACGAUGGGGAUGCGUUCCAUUAGAUAGUAGGCGGGGUAACGGCCCACCUAGUCUUCGAUGGAUAGGGGUUCUGAGAGGAAGGUCCCCCACAUUGGAACUGAGACACGGUCCAAACUCCUACGGGAGGCAGCAGUGAGGAAUAUUGGUCAAUGGGCGCAGGCCUGAACCAGCCAAGUAGCGUGAAGGAGGACUGCCCUAUGGGUUGUAAACUUCUUUUAUAAAGGAAUAAAGUCGGGUAUGUAUACCCGUUUGCAUGUACUUUAUGAAUAAGGAUCGGCUAACUCCGUG
rnacentral:rRNA from 1 species